rnacentral:rRNA from 1 species
GUAGUCUCGCACAGAUGCAUAUCAAUAAGCGGAGGAAAAGAAACUAACAAGGAUUCCCCUAGUAACGGCGAGUGAAGCGGGAAGAGCUCAAAUUUGAAAUCUUAAAGGGUUUCCCUUUACGAAUUGUAGUUUAUAGAAGUGUUUUCUGUUGAGGUUUUGGUAAAAGUUCUUUGGAAUAGGACAUCAUAGAGGGUGAGAAUCCCGUAUUUGACCUUUACUUUCAACUUUGUGAUACACUUUCAAAGAGUCGGAUUGUUUGGGAAUGCAGUCCAAAAUGGGUGGUAAAUUUCAUCUAAAGCUAAAUAUUGGCGAGAGACCGAUAGCGAACAAGUACCGUGAGGGAAAGAUGAAAAGAACUUUGAAAAGAGAGUUAAACAGUACGUGAAAUUGUCAAAAGGGAAGCGUUUGACACCAGUGUUGUUUUUCUGAAAAUCAAUUAAAGAACUGUUUAUGCUAAGCUGUUUAGACUUUAUCAGCUAUCUGUUUAGUUUUGAGCUUUUCUUUAAUGCACUUUUCAGUUAACAAGUCAACAUCAAUUUCUUUUGCUGUAAAAAAGCUUGAGGAAGGUGGCUUGAGAUUCGUCUUAAGUGUUUAUAGCCUCUUGCCUAUGCAGUCGGAGAGAUUGAGGUCUGCAGCGUAGAUCCCUUCGGGGCUAAAUGCAUUUGUGCUAAGUUAUAGCAUUUUAUAGACAACUUGUUGACUAUGAUUUGUCUUGUAGCUUACUCGCUUAUGUUAUUUUACCUACGCUUAGGAUGUUGAUCUGUAGUGCGUGCGC